rnacentral:lncRNA from 1 species
CCCUCCUGACCGCAGCGGCUAGAGGUUCCAUUGCAGACCCGGAGGCCGUGGCUGUGGUUCGCGGCGGUGCUGUCGCGGGCGCCCUGGCGCAGCCCACGCAGGGGCUCCUGAGGGUCCGCGAGGCCGGGAGGUCCGGGGGUCGGGAGGUCCCGGGGUCGGGAAGUCGGUGGACCCUGCAGGCCAGUGGGGAGGGAGACAUAAGACAUCAGUCAGUACAUGUGAGGUGUGCAUUGGAUUGAUCCAGAAAGUCAGGACGACUCCAAGUGGAAAGGCCUCCAGGACAGGAGACAGUAAAAGAAAUGGCCUCUCUCCUCUGUCAGAGUGGAGUCCCGAGCUCCCAGAAAUGCCACAUGAUGGACAAACGCUUGGGGGAAAAAAAAAAAAAAGGAGACCU